rnacentral:rRNA from 1 species
AUUGAACGCUGGCGGCAUGCUUUACACAUGCAAGUCGAACGGCAGCACAGGGAGCUUGCUCCUGGGUGGCGAGUGGCGCACGGGUGGGAAAUGUGUGGAACCUUCCCUGGAAUUGGGGAUAACUUCUCGAAAGGGGGGCUAAUACCGCAUGGGAUCUUUUGAUGAAAGGGGGGGACCUUCCGGCCUCGUGGUUCUGGGACGGCCGAAAUUCGGAUCAGGUUGUUGGUGGGGUAAAGGCUUACCAAGCCUGCGAUCGGUAGCUGGUCUGAGGGGACGACCAGCCACACUGGGACUGAGACACGGCCCAGACUCCUACGGGAGGCAGCAGUGGGGAAUGUUGGACAAUGGGCGCAAGCCUGAUCCAGCAAUGCCGCGUGCAGGACGAAGGCCUUCGGGUUGUAAACUGCUUUUGUACAGAACGAAAAGUCUCUGGCUAAUAUCUAGAGAUCAUGACGGUACUGUAAGAAUAAGCACCGGCUAACUACGUG